GACGAACGCUGGCGGCGUGCUUAACACAUGCAAGUCGAACGGUAAGGCCCUUCGGGGUACACGAGUGGCGAACGGGUGAGUAACACGUGGGUGAUCUGCCCUGCACUUCGGGAUAAGCCUGGGAAACUGGGUCUAAUACCGGAUAGGACCACUGCCUGCAUGGGUGGUGGUGGAAAGCUUUUGCGGUGUGGGAUGGGCCCGCGGCCUAUCAGCUUGUUGGUGGGGUGAUGGCCUACCAAGGCGACGACGGGUAGCCGGCCUGAGAGGGUGACCGGCCACACUGGGACUGAGAUACGGCCCAGACUCCUACGGGAGGCAGCAGUGGGGAAUAUUGCACAAUGGGCGCAAGCCUGAUGCAGCAACGCCGCGUGAGGGAUGACGGCCUUCGGGUUGUAAACCUCUUUUAGCAUCGACGAAGCGAAAGUGACGGUAGGUGCAGAAGAAGGACCGGCCAACUACGUGCCAGCCGCCGCGGUAA
rnacentral:rRNA from 1 species